AGUUAAUAUGGAGGGGCAACUCCUUGUGCUUUCGACUUUUUCAGAAGGGCUACAUAAAUCCGAAUUCUGGUGGGUUCCAUAGGCGUACGACACAACGUAUAUGUGUCUAAAUAAAUUAUUAUACUUUUUAAGGGAUGUCAUUUGAGUGUGAUAUUCAAUUCUUCCUUCCUAUAGCCUUGGUGAUUUGUUGACUCUCCCUAGCAUAUGCAGCAUGCAAAAUUGACCUGCGUCACAAAUCCAGUGUGCAUCGACACAAGUAUCGCCUGAUAUUGGGUGCAGAGGAGAUAGGUCAUUGUGGCAUGUUUACAGCCAGUGUAUGUCAAUGGAUGGUUACUAGUUUAUCUCGACGUGGCAUGGGGUUCCAAUUUCUUAACAAGCUUGUUGGCCAUCAAGGAGGGAAGGUUGUUGUAGAAUAUUUUCCUGCAUUCUCAACUGCUGUUCAUUCUCUCUGAUCAAUCAUGUUAACUAUUGGGCAUGAUGGCCUGUUUGAAGAAAACACCCUACAGCCUUGUUUUUGAUUUACAUUGCUGGUGAUGUGAGCCCACCUGAAAUUUAACUCAUUUGGGAUGUCCUCAAUAAAGAUUUCCCCUUCUACAUCUGGAAGUCUGGUGAAAUAUAUCAGAUGAAUGAUACCAUCCUUUCUGUCUUGUGCUAAUCUAUCCAAUUUUAACAAUCCCUUUGUGCUCUAAAUGUUGCAAAUCCACUAUAUAUGAAUGC
rnacentral:sRNA from 2 species